CCUACGGGGGGCAGCAGUGAGGAAUAUUGGUCAAUGGCCGGAAGGCUGAACCAGCCAAGCCGCGUGAAGGACGAAGGUGCCAAGCAUUGUAAACUUCUUUUGUCAAGGGACAAAAUCAGGCUCGAGAGCCUGACCGAGGGUACUUGAAGAAAAAGCAUCGGCUAACUCCGUGCCAGCAGCCGCGGUAAUACGGAGGAUGCGAGCGUGAUCCGGAUUGAUUGGGUUAAAAGGGUGGGUAGGCGGACUGUUAAGUCAGCGGGAAAAGCCCGGGGCUCAACCCCGGAGAGCCGUUGAAACUGGGUGUCUUGAGAUUUCUUGCGGUCUGCGGACUGCGCGGUGUAGCGGUGAACUGCUUAGAUAUUGCGCAGAACUCCGAUUGCGAAGGCAGCUUACCGGCGGCGAUCUGACGCUGAGGCACGAAAGCGUGGGUAUCGAACAGGAUUAGAUACCCGGGUAGUC
rnacentral:rRNA from 1 species